CGCCUCUUGCAAAAACAAUGAAUAAGAGGUCCUGCCUGCCCUGUGACUAUAUGUUUAACGGCCGCGGUAUUUUGACCGUGCAAAGGUAGCGCAAUCACUUGUCCUUUAAAUGAGGACCUGUAUGAAUGGCAUAACGAGGGCUUAACUGUCUCCUCUUUCAAGUCAAUGAAAUUGAUCUUCCCGUGCAGAAGCGGGAAUAAAAACAUAAGACGAGAAGACCCUAUGGAGCUUUAGACAUAAAACAGAUCAUGUUAAACAUCUUAAAAUAAAAGAACAAACUAAAUGAACCCUGUUCAAAUGUCUUUGGUUGGGGCGACCGCGGGGUAACAAAAAACCCCCAUGUGGAAUAAAAAUACCCUUUUUAAAACCAAGAGCCACUGCUCUAAUAAACAGAAAAUCUGACCAAUCAGAUCCGGCUUAGCCGAUCAACGAACCGAGUUACCCUAGGGAUAACAGCGCAAUCCUCUUUUAGAGUCCAUAUCGACAAGAGGGUUUACGACCUCGAUGUUGGAUCAGGACAUCCUAAUGGUGCAGUCGCUAUUAAGGGUUCGUUUGUUCAACGAUUAAAGUCCU
rnacentral:rRNA from 1 species